CCUACGGGAGGCAGCAGUGAGGAAUAUUGGUCAAUGGCCGGAAGGCUGAACCAGCCAAGCCGCGUGAAGGACGAAGGUGCCAAGCAUUGUAAACUUCUUUUGUCAGGGGACAAAAACAGGGACGAGUGCCUGACCGAGUGUACUUGAAGAUAAAGCAUCGGCUAACUCCGUGCCAGCAGCCGCGGUAAUACGGAGGAUGCGAGCGUUAUCCGGUUUUAUUGGGUUUAAAGGGUGCGUAGGCGGACUGUGAAGUCAGCGGUAAAAGUCCGGGGCUCAACCUCUUCCCGCCGUUGAAACUGGGUGUCUUGAGAGGGCGAGAAGUACGCGGAAUGCGCAGUGUAGCGGUGAAAUGCUUAGAUAUUGCGCAGAACUCCGAUUGCGAAGGCAGCAUACCGGCGGCGAUCUGACGCUGAUGCACGAAAGCGUGGGUAUCGAACAGGAUUAGAUACCCUGGUAGUC
rnacentral:rRNA from 1 species